rnacentral:rRNA from 1 species
GAUGAACGCUAGCUACAGGCUUAACACAUGCAAGUCGAGGGGCAGCAUGAACUUAGCUUGCUAAGUUUGAUGGCGACCGGCGCACGGGUGAGUAACACGUAUCCAACCUGCCGAUGACUCGGGGAUAGCCUUUCGAAAGAAAGAUUACUACCCGAUGGCAUAGUUCUUCCGCAUGGUAGAACUAUUAAAGAAUUUCGGUCAUCGAUGGGGAUGCGUUCCAUUAGGUUGUUGGCGGGGUAACGGCCCACCAAGCCUGCGAUGGAUAGGGGAUCUGAGAGGAAGCUCCCCCACAAUGGAACUGAGACACAGACCAAACUGCUACGCGACGGAAGAGUAAGGAAUAUUAGUCGAGGGACGUGAGUCUGAACCAGCCAAGUAACGUGAAGGAUGACUGCGCUAGGGGUUGUAAACUACUUUUAUACGGGAAUAAUGUGAGUCACGUGGGCCUUCUUGUAUGUACCGUAUGAAUAAGGAUCGGCUAACUCCGUG